rnacentral:rRNA from 1 species
ACAGCAGUAGCCGCGGUAAUACGGGGGGGGCAAGUGUUAUUCGGAAUGACUGGGCGUAAAGGGCUCGCAGGCGGUUUCUUAAGUCCGAUGUGAAAGCCCCCGGCUCAACCGGGGAGGGUCAUUGGAAACUGGGAAACUUGAGUGCAGAAGAGGAGAGUGGAAUUCCACGUGUAGCGGUGAAAUGCGUAGAGAUGUGGAGGAACACCAGUGGCGAAGGCGACUCUCUGGUCUGUAACUGACGCUGAGGAGCGAAAGCGUGGGGAGCGAACAGGAUUAGAUACCCCCGUAGUCCCUGUCUCUUAUAA